UACGUAGGGAGCGAGCGUUGUCCGGAUUUACUGGGUGUAAAGGGCGCGUAGGCGGGAUAGCAAGUCAGAUGUGAAAUCCCGGGGCUUAACCCCGGAACUGCAUUUGAAACUGUUAUUCUUGAGUGAUGGAGAGGCAAGUGGAAUUCCUAGUGUAGCGGUGAAAUGCGUAGAUAUUAGGAGGAACACCAGUGGCGAAGGCGACUUGCUGGACAUUAACUGACGCUGAGGCGCGAAAGCGUGGGGAGCAAACAGG
rnacentral:rRNA from 1 species